AUUCUGCCCAUGCGGGGAAGGAUGAGAAGCUUCAACCAAGGUUCGACUUGAGCGCCAGCGAGAGAGCGUUGCCGCAGGCAACGACCCGAAGGGAGAAGCGCGCAGCGCUGAGUAAUCCUUCCCCCACCACCA
rnacentral:sRNA from 1 species